GCCUAGGCUUAUGACCAGACACACCAUCCAUAUGAGACAUGGAUUUGGAAGAAAGAGUGUGGACAAAAAGGUGCUCUCUGCCACAUGUUUCCUGUGAGAAGAAUCAUUUGUUUGUUAAAUCCCAACUUGAAACAAAAGAGUCCUCUACGUAGCACUAUCAAACAUUUCCCUGUCUGCCAAAGUUGCAGGCUGUGAAGCAUGAUCCGACUUUUCCCCAGAGCAUGACGACGGGGCUGGGAACAAGAAGUCUUUCCUCCUGGACUGAGGCCUCAAGCCAAGAUGAAAAACAAUCAACUUUCAAUUUUCUGUGCUUGUUUGCUUUCUGCCCAGAAUACACAGAAAAGGCAUUUCACCAAACUUUUGGGUUAAGUUUUCAAAGGACAUCUUUCCAUUUCUGCCUGCAAAGGAUUUCGGAGUCAAUUGCUCCUGGGCUUCAGGAGCUCAUUUUUAUUAUUUAAAUGGGGGUGUUUUCACAGCAAAACAACAGCAAAAAAUCCAACUCAAGCCCCUGAACCCACUACUGUUUGCUAAAUGAAGCAAAACACCAUAAUAGUGUUAAUGAUGGAUUUCUUUCUUAACUGUUGUUUUGAGAUCACAACGAAUCACUAUAAUCAUUAAAUCUACAGCUAAAUUAUAGUACAGAUCUUCGAAGUGCAUGGCCAAUAUGGUUUGUUUCAUAACACCCUCUCCUCUGCACCCCUUUGUCCCUUGUUAUUAUUCUUCUCAGAUUAUUUUCUGUGAAAAACUGGCUUAAUAUAUUCGAAGUCACACUUGUGAACAGCUUUGUUACCUUCUUGCAUGCCUAUCCCUCCCCUGCACCCCAGAGCCACUUUCCUAAGAAAUGCAGACAGCAGACAGCUAAACUAAGGGGUUUAAAUCAGUGCCGACUCACCUGCACGACCAAGUGUAGGAGGGGUGGGGACACAGCCUGUGGAGUUGGGGCCCUCCCAACACUUCUGCAUAAGUAGGGGCUCUCACCACGUACCUUCCACUAAAUCUAGCAAAGGUGGAGGAUGUGUGGGCAGAUGCUGCUCUCUGAAGGAAGCUAGUAGAGUUGGGAUUCACUUCUCUUCUUAGCUCUGCGGCUUACUCCCUCCGCAGCCAAUUCAGUCCUACACAAAAGGAGGUAAGGAAGCAUGUUUUCUAUUUCUGGCCCAGGCAGUGUGGGGCCAGGAACAAUAUGGAUUGUGUGGGUAUUGAGGAAGUGCAUGGGGCCUCUCA